rnacentral:rRNA from 1 species
AGAGUUUGAUCCUGGCUCAGGAUGAACGCUAGCGACAGGCCUAACACAUGCAAGUCGAGGGGCAGCGGGGAGGUAGCAAUACCUUUGCCGGCGACCGGCGCACGGGUGAGUAACACGUAUGCAAUCCACCUGUAACAGGGGGAUAACCCGGAGAAAUCCGGACUAAUACCCCAUAAUAUGGGCGCUCCGCAUGGAGGGUCCAUUAAAGAGAGCAAUCUUGGUUACAGACGAGCAUGCGCUCCAUUAGCCAGUUGGCGGGGUAACGGCCCACCAAGGCGACGAUGGAUAGGGGUUCUGAGAGGAAGGUCCCCCACAUUGGAACUGAGACACGGUCCAAACUCCUACGGGAGGCAGCAGUGAGGAAUAUUGGUCAAUGGUCGGCAGACUGAACCAGCCAAGUCGCGUGAGGGAAGACGGCCCUACGGGUUGUAAACCUCUUUUGUCGGAGAGUAAAGUGCGCUACGUGUAGCGUAUUGCAAGUAUCCGAAGAAAAAGCAUCGGCUAACUCCGUGCCAGCAGCCGCGGUAAUACGGAGGAUGCGAGCGUUAUCCGGAUUUAUUGGGUUUAAAGGGUGCGUAGGCGGCACGCCAAGUCAGCGGUGAAAUUUCCGGGCUCAACCCGGACUGUGCCGUUGAAACUGGCGAGCUAGAGUGCACAAGAGGCAGGCGGAAUGCGUGGUGUAGCGGUGAAAUGCAUAGAUAUCACGCAGAACCCCGAUUGCGAAGGCAGCCUGCUAGGGUGCGACAGACGCUGAGGCACGAAAGCGUGGGUAUCGAACAGGAUUAGAUACCCUGGUAGUCCACGCAGUAAACGAUGAAUACUAACUGUUUGCGAUACAAUGUAAGCGGUACAGCGAAAGCGUUAAGUAUUCCACCUGGGGAGUACGCCGGCAACGGUGAAACUCAAAGGAAUUGACGGGGGCCC